CCUAAGGAGGCAGAAUACCUUGAAGUAGGGUGAUUCACAAGUCAUAGGUGGAUUCAGAGUUUCUGAUUGAUUGGCAGUUGGUUGAAAGAGUUAAGCUUUGCCUAAAGACUUGAAGUAAAAGCUUGAGUUAAGGUAAGGGGGAGUGUCCAGCCUCCCUUCCAUCAUGGCCAACAAUCCAGCUUUUCAGGUUUCUCUGGGGUCCUCUAGGCCAAGAGGGGAUUUCAUUCAGUUGGUUGGGGGGCUUAGGAUUUUAUUUUGUUAUAGUAGUCAUAGCCGAAUCACCUAGAUAGAUAAAGUUUCUAUGGACUGAGCUGGGAAUACUUUGGAAGGAGCAGGUCUGGGGUCAGAACAGAGGACAGCAAAGGGCAGGAGUUAGUCUUGGGCAUGGUAAAGUUGAGAUGCUUAUUGUGCUCUUCGGUUUUGCUUUGAGUUUGUUCAGGAAAAUAAAUUUUAUAAAUUAAAAC
rnacentral:lncRNA from 10 species